rnacentral:miRNA from 1 species
GAGGGAGAUGGGAGGGAGAGGAAGCCAAACACGAUUUGUCCAUUUCCACGUCCUUCCUCCCUUUCUCUCCCUCUCUCCCUC